rnacentral:lncRNA from 1 species
GCCUAUCAGUAGAGAAGAAAGCAAGAAAAGGUGCAGUAAUAGUUAAAUUCCAGAGCAAUUUGGCCUUGGCUUUCAGCCGGCCAAACAAUAGCCACUUAGUGUAGAAAUCAGAAUUGGGGCAAGAGAGAAAGCUUAAAUUUUUAGUAGUGAAAGUAAGAGGGUUCGAGACUUGCAGUGUUGUUUAAAGGGAGUGAGGAAGGGGGUUUAAAU